rnacentral:rRNA from 1 species
GACGAACGCUGGCGGCGUGCUUAACACAUGCAAGUCGAACGGAAAGGCCCUGCUUUUGUGGGGUGCUCGAGUGGCGAACGGGUGAGUAACACGUGAGUAACCUGCCCUUGACUUUGGGAUAACUUCAGGAAACUGGGGCUAAUACCGGAUAGGAGCUCCUGCUGCAUGGUGGGGGUUGGAAAGUUUCGGCGGUUGGGGAUGGACUCGCGGCUUAUCAGCUUGUUGGUGGGGUAGUGGCUUACCAAGGCUUUGACGGGUAGCCGGCCUGAGGGGGUGACCGGCAAAAGGGGGAAGGGGAAAGGGCCAAAACCAGUAGGGGGGGGAGAGGGGGGAAAAAUGAAAAAAGGGGGGGAGGCCGAAGGAGGAAACGCCGGGGGGGGGAGAAGGGCUUUGGGGGUGAAAACCGUUUUGCCGGGGAAGGAGGGGGGGGGGAGGGAAAGGGUAAAAGAAAAACGGGAAAAAAAGGU